rnacentral:tRNA from 2 species
CGGGGUGUAGUUUAAUGUAGGUAAAACCUUUCGCACCACGAAAGAGUUGCAGGUUCGAAUCCUGUCACCCCGA